rnacentral:rRNA from 1 species
AUUGAACGCUGGCGGCAUGCCUUACACAUGCAAGUCGAACGGUAACAGGUCUUCGGAUGCUGACGAGUGGCGAACGGGUGAGUAAUACAUCGGAACGUGCCCGAUCGUGGGGGAUAACGAAGCGAAAGCUUUGCUAAUACCGCAUAAGAUCUACGGAUGAAAGCAGGGGACCGCAAGGCCUUGCGCGAACGGAGCGGCCGAUGGCAGAUUAGGUAGUUGGUGGGAUAAAAGCUUACCAAGCCGAGAUCUGUAGCUGGUCUGAGAGGACGACCAGCCACACUGGGACUGAGACACGGCCCAGACUCCUACGGGAGGCAGCAGUGGGGAAUUUUGGACAAUGGGCGAAAGCCUGAUCCAGCCAUGCCGCGUGCAGGAUGAAGGCCUUCGGGUUGUAAACUGCUUUUGUACGGAACGAAAAGACUCUGGUUAAUACCUGGGGUCCAUGACGGUACCGUAAGAAUAAGCACCGGCUAACUACGUG